rnacentral:rRNA from 1 species
UCUGACGGAGCAACGCCGCGUGAGUGAUGAAGGUUUUCGGAUCGUAAAACUCUGUUGUUAGGGAAGAACAAGUGCCAUAGUAACUGAUGGCACCUUGACGGUACCUAACCAGAAAGCCACGGCUAACUACGUGCCAGCAGCCGCGGUAAUACGUAGGUGGCAAGCGUUGUCCGGAAUUAUUGGGCGUAAAGCGCUCGCAGGCGGUUCUUUAAGUCUGAUGUGAAAUCUUACGGCUCAACCGUAAACGUGCAUUGGAAACUGGGGAACUUGAGUGCAGAAGAGGAGAGUGGAAUUCCACGUGUAGCGGUGAAAUGCGUAGAGAUGUGGAGGAACACCAGUGGCGAAGGCGACUCUCUGGUCUGUAACUGACGCUGAGGAGCGAAAGCGUGGGGAGCGAACAGGAUUAGAUACCCUGGUAGUCCACGCCGUAAACGAUGAGUGCUAGGUGUUAGGGGGUUUCCGCCCCUUAGUGCUGAAGUUAACGCAUUAAGCACUCCGCCUGGGGAGUACGGCCGCAAGGCUGAAACUCAAAGGAAAUUGACGG